UACGUAGGUGGCAAGCGUUGUCCGGAUUUAUUGGGUUUAAAGGGUGCGUAGGCGGCCCUGUAAGUCAGUGGUGAAAUACGGCAGUUCAACUGUCGAGGUGCCAUUGAUACUGCAGGGCUUGAGUACAGACGAGGUAGGCGGAAUUGACGGUGUAGCGGUGAAAUGCUUAGAUAUCGUCAAGAACACCGAUAGCGAAGGCAGCUUACUAGACUGUAACUGACGCUGAGGCACGAAAGUGUGGGGAUCAAACAGG
rnacentral:rRNA from 1 species